UGGUAUUUCUAUGUGCUAGUUUGUUCCUGUGGUACUUGAUGUUCAUGAUAGCCUCUAUCUCUGGUGUCAUAAGAUGAUCUCCUUUUGUCACAGUAGUGCCUCUAUGUGCUGGUUUGUCCCUGUGGUACCUAAUGUUAAUUUUAUGACAGCCUUUAUUGCUGGUUUUAGGAAGAGUCUGAAAAACUGGGUAUGAAAAACUAUAAAAAGAAAAAAAGAAAAGAACUCGUGAUGAUUAAUUCUCUGAAAGAAAUGCGUUCGUGAAAAGGUUUCAACUACAUGUAGGUGUAGAAGGAAAAAAAUCAUAUGAAACAUCGCAAAAAUGGGCCAUAUAUAUAUUUUUAAAGAUAACUUAAUCUGUUUUCUUUAGACAAAUGGUUACUUAGCAGCUCAUAAAUGAAUUGACACCGUUUUCCUUCUGAAUUAAUAAAUAAGAAGUGUCAGCUUUCCAUCUUUAGACCUGCCUGGUCAGGUUUUAAUUCGGAAACUUUUUAAUUGCAAAGCAGGUUGCUCGGGGACAUAGCGGCAUCUGGUUCCUGUACAUGUAUAUUGGGAUAUAAUAGGAUAUAUUCCAGAUAGGUACUCUGUCUAUAGUUAAUAUGUACACGAGGCAGAAUCGUUUUCACUCAUCUUUGCAUUGUCUCUGUACAAAAUGUCUGCUUGCUGCCCGCCCGCUUGUUAGAGUAAUUUUAAUUGAUUAGAAAAAAUAGAAAAAUGAAGAAAAACGAGAAAAUGAGACUGGAGGACAAGCGAAUUUGUCCCAGACCACAAGUGAAUUAUUUGAAGUAGAAUAGGCCUAUCGAGGUCGCGUCAGAUAAAACGUUGAAGCACAGUAUCUUAUUUAGUGGAAAUGGAUUCCCUUAUAGUUGGAAUAUUAGGGAUCCAAUUGAAAACUAAACGAGGCGACAUUAAAGCGAAUAACAGAAGAGUGAAGGGAAAAAAGAGGUAUGUCAAUAAAAUAGAACACGCCUGUUUAAAAUUGAAUGACAGACGCAACUGAUGUUAAUACGCCUUAAGGAAGACAGCAAGAUGGGAGUAGCAAACGUGACGAAGUCAAAUUCUAAUUGGAUAGAAUUAAGAUAUUUAUAAAGAGUCCAUCCUACUAGAGAUGUCAAUAAACGGCCAUGGAAAUGUAAAAAGAUGCUCUCAAAUUUCAAUUUUACUGACAAUUGUUUUUAAACAUGUACGCUAAGUCUUUUCUAGAAUGAUACUAUAGGAGUUCCACGGUCAUAUGCUUUUCCCUCCUAGCAUGAUUGAUCGCAAUUCGCAUAAAGUUCACGUAAUUAAGGGGUGCGGAAUGUUUGAAGAGAUGCCAACAACUGAGAUAUUUCAUUUCACUGUUGAAGAUUCCUGACAGGACGGAAAUGUGUGCAUUUGAAAAUAUUUUGUUGUUGACUUGAGCGGGUUAGCCAACCAGUGAAUGAAUAUUUUGUUGUUUGUCUACUCUUGUAAUUUUAAUAUCCAUCAUAACCAGUUGUUAAAAUUCUUUUACAAGUUACGACACUUAGAUGACAUUCACUUUAAUUUCAGGCAAUACUAAUUUUUAUUGCACUUUGUUUCGGUUUAGGUCUCCUGCACUUACAGUAUAAAUCAAUUCAGAUGAUGUAUCAUAAUUUCAUUCUUAAGAAUAUCCGUUUUAUUUCGGCCACUACCCCCUUCCAAUGUCAAACAUCGUCGACAGUGCACAGGCACUUUAAUUGAAGGUGACAAGCAAAAACUAAGAUUAUGAUUAAUCUACUUAAUGGGAAGUCCCUUCAAUGAAAUUACGUUUUUUCGUGUUACGAAGAAUAUUUUUUGAGAAUUUUUUCUCGAUAAAUUGCUUUAAUUUAAGUCCUAUUCACUGGCAUUUCAACGAUCUUCUUAAAAUGAUCUUGUCAGUUGAUAAUACGGUUAUAUUGGCAAUCAAAAGAUCGAGUGAAACAAAUGAUAUAAUGAGUACAAUGAUGUAAUGAGAAUGGUCUUUUGUGAAUAUUAUUUGAUAUCUUGAAGGAUGAAAUGAUUAAGAUGUGACGGAUAUGAGUGUGGUUAUGGAUAUUACCGAAUAUGUGAUGCGCAUGGAGUCAUGUGAAUUCUAUUAUCUGGGACGCCAGAUAAAUACUAGCAUCUGGGACGCCAGAUUGAAUUAUCAUUUUUUAUUAUCAAUAUAAGUAUUGUUAUUGGAAUAUUAUCAUAUUAUUAGCAUGGUUAUAUACACGUAUUAUUGUAAUCUUCUGCAUGAAUAGUACCAUGGCAAGUUAAACUUUACCUGAUAUGCGUAACUGUAUUGCAUUAUGAUGAUGAUUGUUAUGAUAUACGUAAAGUUAAGUUUUUUUUUUUUUGACAUGCAUUUCUGCGUCAUUCGUUUCGUCAUUCGUAAUCGCUGGACGUGGCCAUUCGUGGAUAUACAGGAAACUUUGAACAUUUAUCUAUACGUGGGACAGCGUACGCGAAUAACAAUAGACAUUUAUCCAUAUACAAUGAAUGGCAGAUGACAAUCGCUAUUCAGUCUGGAAGGACUAAUUUGACAUUAUAUGAAACUGAACUUUCGUGCUAUAAUUCAAAAUGGAGAAUGCAACGGACACUAUACCAAAUGGAACUUUUCAUUUGUGUGGAUAUAAACUUUAAAUUUACGAGUUAAUUUUGAGUUCUAUGUUAUUGCAUGUUUUCAUACUGACAUAUUAAGUGUUAUGUACUAAAAGUUAAAUACGUGACUUAUUGUGAGUAAUAUCUAUAUUCAGCUUAUCGAUCUUAUGAUUAUUAGUUAUUGACAUUUAACUAUACGGUUAUUGGUAUAUGAACAGUGUAUUUAACUUUUGUAGAGAUCAUGACAUGAAACUGAUUAUAUGUAUUUAGGAAGAUUCUUGCAUUUUGGGACUUAUUUUUCGGUAUGUUUUAGUUCAAUCGUGGAUUGGAGUUGAUAUAAAACAAUUAUUUCUCUUAUAGCCAUCAAAAGAGAAGCGCUACAGUGUGGAUCUAUAUGAAGAUGAACAGGUACUUCGUCAUCAACGAUGCGCUGGUCGCAACGUUGUAUGGUGAAUGCUGUUUCUUCGGCAGGAAGUAGCUUACCCAAUUGUCUCCCGUAGUGCAUUCCAAGAACAUCCCAUAUGGCAAACGAAAGAGAGAAACCAUAUAAAAAUGUUAUCAGAGCCAUAAUAAGAGAGCAACAGAUUUAAAUAUCCGCAUCAGAAAACAAAUGAAAAAUGUCAUUGCUCUUGGGGUACAUUGAAAGGUGUAAAUGCCAAUAUGAAAUAUAUCCACGAACAAUUGUAUUUUCCUAAAUAUUUAUUAUUUAAUCUUCCUUUGAGUUACAUUUUUGGUUUCAUGUCGAAUGUGUUUCUUAUAUUAUGUGUAUGUUAAUCAUAGUCAUAUUUUUGCAUGACUUUAUGAUAAAAUUGGAGUGUUUACGAAACAUAAUUUGAAGGUGUAUUUUAAUUUUAAAUAUGCCUAGGGAUAGGCAUAUCGUCCCCGGGAGAUAUUGUAAUGUUAGAAAGUGACAGCAUGCAGUGAAUAAGAGCGGGGAGUGUUUGGUUGAGUACAUUUAGUUGAUUGACAUGCCCCUAUGGUAUUUAUACAACUGCUCGUAAUGUAAACGAGGGAGAAGGCCGCUAGAGAUUGCAUGAGGUAGAAAUAGAAAUGAAGACAGCGGCGCGGGUAACAGUAGUUAAGUAAAUAAUAAGAAAGAUAAUACCUGAGUUGCAUUUGCUACCUCGCGCAACAUCAGCAAAAGAUAAAGACAAUUUUGUCCGAAUGCAACAAUGAUAACACAUUUCGAUAAAAACUGAUACGUGUGUUGUCUUGAAAAUCACUGACGUGAUCAACCUUGUAAUCAGCUUGAUGGGACUAGUUUUGAUGAAGUUAUAUAUAUAUAUAAAUUUUUUUUUUUUGGAUAUCAGUGAUUUUUUUUUCAGAUUCAAUUCUCAAAACUGAACUAAUUAGGCAUGUAAAAGUGUUCUUUUGAAGACUGUUGCUACAUCUUAACAAUAUUGUUAGAAGAUUAUAUAAAAACGAUGGUAAACCUUUUAUCGGUAUUGUGUAAAAAGUGUCAAAAAAGGAAUAAAUGGAAAUCAUUCA